rnacentral:ncRNA from 2 species
UCAAACCACUAGAGGUGUCGCAAGACUGAGAGGGGCUCAUAUUGCCCUAACUCUUCGAACCUGACCUGGGUCAUACCAGCGUAGGGAAGUGGGAACGGUCCUUC